CCGAAGAAUAAUACACAGAAUUAGUCAUGUGCCCACACGCAUCCCUCCCAGCAUCAGUGUCAGCUUUGUCUCAGGGAAUCUUCUCAGAAACAUUUCCUACCCAGCCAAAUACAAGCCCAGCAAAUUCCUUACUCAGGGGACUUCCAGCAGAAUACAGCCUGAGCCUUGCGGAAACAAAGGAGAAAGAUCAGAGUGAACACACCAAGGCCACUCAGCUUCAUGAUGGGGACAAGAUUGGGGGUGAGCCUGGAGGCUGAAUCUAUCAUCUCUGACAGGAGCAGAGAACCAGCAGGGGGAGCAGUAGGUCCCAGGGUAAGAGGUCCAAGGGGCCUCAGCUUGACCAUGAAAUACCUGCUGUGUCCCUAAUUCCUCCUAGAAAGGGACACUGUGAAAAAACCUCUGGGGCAUAACUCCUGAGAGCACCACGUGCUGCCCUCUAUUCAGUGAGCAGGGAGAUGGCCUGGCCCUUAACCAUUCUUGCUUUACACAGAGAUUAAAUCAUGAAUAAGUAUGGGUUCAAUUCAGUCAUGUACACUCAGCUUAGACUCAAAAAUUAAGUAAUAUCUGUUGGUUAUUUGCAAACUUACAUUGCUGAAAUAAAUCCCUACCUGUUCCUAUGUAUCACCCCUUUUAUAGAUGACUAAAUUCAAUUAGCUAACAUUUUCUUUAGGAUAUUUGACUUUAUAUUUAGAGUGAAAUUGGCAUAUAGUUUCACUUUUAUGGGUUAUUGUCUCGGUUAUCUAGUGCUGCUGAGGUAGGUCUGGAGUCCUGAGGUAAAAAUAACCCUCUUGUGAACAGAAGCUGUAGAAAAUUCCAAAGCAAAGAAGAUAUUGCAUAGGCCAGACACGAAGAAACCAGUAUCUCAAACUGUGGCUAAAUUUUAAACAGUAAGCAGUCAGACUUCCCUCAACACUUCCUCUUAAGAUUGUUUUUCAGGCAAACCAGCUAAAAACAGAAUCCCGCACAGGCGCAGAAACGAUUUGGUUGACUGCUGGGUGUCCCCAUCCCAUAAUGAGUCCUGCCUAACCAAAAAAAAAAAAAAAAAAAAACCUGCUGCCGUCGAGUCCAUUCUGACUCAUAGCGACCCUAUACGACAGAGUAGAACUGCCCCACGUGGUUUCCAAGGAAUGCCUGGUGGAUUUGAACUGCCAACCUUUUGAUUAGCAGCCGUAGCUCUUAACCACUAUGCCACCAGGGUUUCUGAGUCCUGCCUAGGAACCAAGAAAUUCAUGAUGGACACGUCACCAGACAGUAGCCAGACUCAAUUCAGAAACGAGAAGUCCAACACCCACUUCUGUGCUAAGUCUAAGCCCAGUCUUUUUUAAAAAUAUGCAAGCUAUUUCCCAGAAGUUUAAUGAAUAUGUAUAACUUCCCUUUUACUAAAUAGUAUAAAACUUCUCCCAGCCCUUUGUUCUGGGAGACAGUGCUUUGAGAGUGAUAUCCCCGUCUCCUACUUGCUUUGUCUUUCAGAAGCAGCUGGAUAAAACCAGCCCCAGGGACAUAUGCAGAAUAUCCACCUGUGACCGCUGUGUGACCUUCCACCAGGGGCAGUGGGAGGCUGCAGCCACAGCUGGGGAAUCAAACUCAAGGGGCAAGAGACUGCGCAGAAGUGACACACCAUAACAAGCCCUGCUAUGAAUCCCAGAGGCCUCUGGGACAGGAGCCAUCUUAGGAAGCAGCUACAAAUGCACCUUAGUUAACCUAUCCCUUUCCAAAAUGGGCUACUUGCCUGAAAACCCUGCCUAUGCCUCUGAAUGAAGAUGAAUCUUUUUCCCACUCAAGAAUUUUUAAAAGCCCAUGCAAGUCUUUUGUUCUGUGAGACCGGCAUAAGCAUAGCUUAGACCCAACUCACCUACUCUUGCAAGCCUCUCCAAUAAAGCUUUGCUCGUGUGGAAAACUCUUUGUGCUUUACCUGCUCAUUCUUGACCAGUGAGAAGCAAGAGCCUUAUUCUGUUCCGGCAGCAACACUGAUGCUGGAAGAGCCUCAUUUGUAUACCUGACUAACUCUGUGGUAUUUUUCUUCAGGUAAGAAAUCUCAACAAUGCCCACUGCUUACUCGUAAAUGGAAAAGGAUCAAAUUCAUGAUUGCCUGACUGAUUCACGUUGCAUGACAUAAGAGAAGUGUUGUUACAACAACUGCAAAAAUCACUGUUAUUACCUUGAUUGACUUUGGAUUGAGGUGAGAGCCCCCAGGUUCUGAACUUCUUGGCUUUGCUACAGAAAUAAUUUACCCAGUUGUCUUAGAGGGAGUUGAGAACGGACAGAGCCUUUGAAAUCUUUGUGAUCAGAACUGUGAAGUUGGGGAGUACCUUGGAAUUUAUCUAAGGCACUUAAAAAAGGGAGUACUAACGGGCAGGGACUCUGAGCCCUCCCCCAAAAUCCACAAUUUAUACUUCAUGUCAUGGGCAUGACUUCUCUCCUUUGUAUAAUGGAGACAUUGGGGAAAAUGAUCCCUAAGCUCAUUAAGGGUUUUUGAAUAUUUAUGAUUAUUGUUAAUUGCCAUUUUUUAAAGCCUAUAGAUAAGCACAUGCUUAUUCACAUUUCAAUUCUGGAAUAAGAGAUUAUGAUAUCAUACAUCUUUAGAAUAACUUGCCUAGAAUCCCUGAUCCCUAGUUUCUAAGUCCUUGGCAGAACAUCUCAGUGCUCCUGGGAGGACAGUUCCUAUCAGGAACCAGGGACCCACAUCAAUGGCCCUGCAGGGUGUGUACUUUCCCAUAUCUGCUUCUCUCCUCUCUCCCCAGCUACCCCUUCUUACCCAGGUCUGAGAAGUCACUGCAGACACAGGCUCUAACUUAGUCUUGGAACCCUGGUAUCUGUUUCUUCCACACUCACUGCACACCAAGGGGUAAAAUGCCUGGGAAAAUUGUAAUAUGAAAAUCACACAACAAAGAAAUAAAGCAUUAUGCAUUUUAAAAAAUCUACCGAAUCUCUCUCUUUUUUUCCCUUUUUUAGUCAUACAUUGGGUUCUGUAAAAGGGAUGGUUCUGUUACACAUUUAGUUUUUAAUCAAUGCCUGCACCUGUGUUUUUCCAGUAUGUUCCUCACUUUCCAAGUCUCCUGAACUCAGAUUCUGCAUUGGUCAGACGGAAGUGGCCCUUUAAAGCCAUGUUUUGUGUGUUUGUAUUCUAUGAAGUAUGUCUACUUUUGCCUGAGAUGAAGGAGGAAGGCAUUUUUGCUACAGUUUCUCUGACACUCCUGCUGGUGGCCAUUCCACUUGUUAAGACUCGUAAGAUCUAGACCUAGGGUUAGGUGUUCAGGUUGGAAAUGGAGCAGGACAUAGCUACGUUCCUGGUUCUUAAAGGCCAGAAGUCAAGGCCUCAUAAAACAGAAUAAAGAGGUCCUCUCUUAGUCCAAAAAAAAAAAAAAAAAAGUGGAGUUUUUUAGCUCUUAGUCCAGCCUAGCUGCUUUGAGUCUCAGCUUGGGGUUUGGAGCCUCUGAUAUACCUGAUAAUAGGUGUUAUUUAGACUUGCGUCUCCUCACUUCAUCCUAUGUGCCUCAGUCUCCCUCAAAGACAACACAGGGAGCAGGGGUCUUAGAAAGUGAAUUUCAAAAACUGCAUUUCUCUUUGACAAUUAUGUUGUACAACAGAAAGAAACACUGCUCAGUCCUGUGCCACCCUCAUAAUUGUUGCUAUGUUUGAGCCCAUUGUUGCAGCCACUGUGUCAAUCCAUUUCAUCAAGGGUCUUCCUCUUUUUCACUGACCCUGUAGCUUACUGUCUUAGUUAUCUAGUGCUGCUAUAACAGAAACACCACAAGUGGAUGGAUGGUUUUAACAAAGAGAAGUUUAUUUUCUCACAGUAAAGUAGGCUAAAAGUCCAAUUCAGAGUGUCAGCUCUAGGUGAAGCCUUUCUCUCUCUGUCGGCCUUCUCAUCAAUCUUCUCCCAGACUCGGAGCUUCACUGCACAGGGGCGCCUGGUCCAAAGGACGUGCUCUGCUCCCAGUAUGGCUUUCUUGGUGGUAUGAGGCCCUCCCCUGACCCUGUCUCUCUGCUCGCUUCUUUCUUUUAUCUCAAGAGAUUGCCUCAAGACACAGUCCAAUCUUGUAGGCUGAGUCCUGCCUCACUAACAAAACUGCAGCCCAUCCUCAUUAACAUCAAAGAGGCAGAAUUUACAACAUAGAGGAAAAUCACACAAUACUGGGAGUCAUGGCCCAGCCAAAUUGAUACAUACAUUUUGGAGGGACAUACUUCAAUCCAUGACACUUACUAAGCAUGAUAUCCUUCUCCAGGGACUGGACCCUCCCGAUAACAAGUCCAAAGCAUGUGUGACAAAGUCCUACCACCCUUGCUUCCAAGGAACACCCUGGCUGUAUUUCUUCCAAGACAGACUUGUUCAUUCUUCUGGCAGUCCACGGUAUAUUCAAUAUUCUUUGACAGCACCAUAAUUCAAAGGCAUCAAUUCUUCUUUGAUCAUCCUUAUUCAUUGUCCAGCUUUCGCAUGCAUAUGAGGAGACUGAAAAUAUCAUGGCUUGGGUCAGGUGCAACUUAGUCCUCAAAGUGACAUCUUUGCUUUUCAACACUUUAAAGACACAUAUAUCUUAAACAAAUGUUGUAUAAAACUACUUAUCUCCUAGCAUGUUUUAAGUUCCUAUCUAAUUUUUUCAUUAUAAUUUACAUAACUUCAAGGAAUAUAAUUUUUAACCAAUGAUAAAUGUUGUCAUUUAAAUAAAAUGGGUGGCUCACUCUUUUUAAGGUUUCUAAUGGAAUAAACUCCAAACCCAAUGCUGUUGAGUCAAUUCUGACUCAUAGCAGCCCUAUGGGACAGAGUAGAACUGCCCCAUAGGGUUUCUUUCCAAUGCUGUAAAUCUUUACAGAAGCAGACUGCUGUAUCUUUCUCCUUCAGAGCAGCUGGUGAAUUCGAAUCACUGAACUUUUAGUCAGCAGCUGAGUGCUUUAACCACUGUGCCACCCAGAGGUCUCCUCUAAUGGAAUAGGUAAACCAUAUUCAUUUAAUACUAAUAUCUAUUAGGAAAAAAACAUCAGUUCUUUCUUUUCCUUAUCUUCUUCCCCUUCUCUUCCCUUCCCUUCCUUUGCCUUCAUUUCUGAACAAUUUUAUCCAAAAGCAAAUAGGUCAAAGAGUUAUUUGGGUCCUCUGAACAACAGGCGCAGAAUGAUAUAUUUAAAUGGAAAUGGUAAGAACAUUUACCUCUUAUCCUUGUCUUAUUUUCAAUCUAAGGAGGAUCUUGGGCAUGUUCGGCCUAUGAAGGAGAGAGUAUUUAUAUCUGACUCUGUUUAGAAUUGCCAGCACAGAGUGAUAAUAAAAAGCAGACUGAUUUUCAUCAGUUUCUUAUUUUUUUAAUUCUCUAUACUAAGUACACUGCCUCAUAGCCUAUAAUUGGGUGAACUGCUCCAAAUACUUGCUUUGGUACACUACUGAAGUAUACCAGUUACCAGUUGCCAUAGUCCCAGCUCUGACUCAUGUCAACCCCAUGUGUGUCAGAGUGAAUGAAACUGUAUAGAAUUUUCAAUUUCUGACUUUUCAGAAGUAGAUCACCAAGUCUUUCUUCCAAGGCACCUCUGGGUGGACUUGAACCUCCAACCUCUUGAUUAGCAGCCAAGCGCAUUAACUGUUUGCACCACCCAGGGACUCCCUUUAUAAUAUAUUAUAUAAUAAUAUAUAAUAUAUAAUAUACAAAAUUUUUUUUAGUAAUAUAUAAUAUAUAAUACUUUCAUUAUCCUUGAAUGUACUUUGAUGUUUGUUUGUGAAUCAGGAUUUCCUAUUUUUUUUUUUCCUAAGCACGUUAUGAUUGAUGAAAAAUGAGAAAGUCCUGGUGGGAAGUAGGGUGGGAGAUGGAACUAGAGACCAGGGAUCAAAGACCAGGCUUGUAGCACCAGUGUCUUCACAGGUGAUGUUAAGAAGGGGUUUCUACCCCCUGAAGAGAGAAGAGAACCAGAGAUAAGAGAGGGAACUAGGGACGUGGAAUUGGAUCCUUUGCUCAUCAUGCCCAGGGGAGCUUAUCCUUCUUGGCCGCCUCAUUGAUCAGAGGCCAUAAGCCUCCACCGCUACUAGGGAUUCUGCCCUCAGGAGUAGUGAGAUGCUGAUAUUGCCCCAUCUGUCUGGGUUCUUGAAAAUGCUCUUAGAAAAGCUUGGUUCAGAUUGUGAAAAAAGAGGUGGCAAAGCCAGGUUGAUUGGACUAAAAGGUUUUUAAUAAGGGGAAACUUACAGGGGAUAGAGGGAGGUAUGUAGACUCCCAAGGCAAAAACAGAGAAGCACUGACUAUUAACCUGAGCUAUGAUACUGGUGCGCCCUAGGAAUCUUUGUUCUAACACUUACAUACUCAAAGAGCAGGUGAAUUACAAAGUGGGAGAGGAGAGGAAUGUGAUGGGGGGGGAAGGGAGGGGAAAGUAAAAUCUGAAAACUUGGAGAGCAGUGGCCCUGAGGCACUUGCUUAGUUAAACUGAUGGCUGAAUUUGCACUUGAAAGCUGUUAAUCAGUAGUGCUAGUCCAGAAGAGAGGGAGGAAGAGAGAGGGGAGUCUGGUUAAUGUUCCUGUCAAACUGCUGACUGGGUUAUUGUCUGGUCAGCCACUCUUGCUUAAUCCCAGAGUCCUUUUCAGGCAGGAGCCAUAUUGGAUAUGACUAUAAAACCCCACAGAUGUCCUACACAGGGAUCUGGACCACUCCUGGUGAGACAUUAAGACAAAACAAACAAACAAAAAAACCCCAAACCUAUUGCCACAAAGUAGGUCAGGAUUCAUGUCUUAGAGAGCAGAACUGUGCUCUGUAGGGUUUUGUUGGCUGUAAUUCACAUACACAGCAAAAUUAUUUUUUAAAAAUCAAGGAAAUAAUUGCAGCAAAAUUCAUGAUACUUAAUUCUAAGUGGGAGGGAGAGGGUUGCGCCUGAGAAAGGGUUCGGGAGGAGUCCUGGGUUGUCGGUCAUGUUCUGUUUUUUACCUUAGGUCAUGAUUACUUAGAGUUUUAUUUUAAAACUACUUGUUAAUCUAUACACAAAAAUUUUAUACACAUUACUAAAUGUAUAUGAUAUUUUAAAAAAUUUUUAACAGCUUUAAUGAUAUUUAAAAAAAAAUUUAACCCUGUAGUGGUAUAGCUCUCGGCUGCUAACCUUAAGGUUGGCAGUUUGAACCAACCAGCCGCUCCACGGGAGAAAGAUGUGGCAGUCUGCUUCCAUAGCGUUACAGCCUUGGAAACCCUAUGGGGCAGUUCCGCUCUGUCCUAUGGGGUAACUAUGAGUUGAAUUCGACUCAACAGCAAUGAUGGGUUAUUAUAUAAUUUACAUGCCAUAAUAUUUACCUGUUUUAAAGGCAGGGGCUCAUUCUUUAUUAAGUCAUCAUAUAAUAGUAACAAGAGCUACUUCUUUUUUCUCUCAGUACUUUUUUUUAACAGUUUAUACAUGUACGAUUCUGUGGCGUUGAUUACAUUCUUCGAAUUGUGCAACCAUUCUCACCCUCUUUUUCUGAGUUAUUCCUCCCCAUUAACAUAAAUUCACUGCCCCCUAAGUUUCCUAUCUAAUCUUUUGAGUUGCUGUUAUCAAUUUGAUUUCAUAUAGAUAGAUCUUAAAAGAGCAGAAUGCUCAAGGCACACAUUCUUUACUAGUUAACUAAAUUCUUGUUUGGUUUUAAGAAGACUUCAGGGGAUAUUUUUGGUUUAAGGCUUAAAGAUUAUCCUAGGGCUAUAGUUUGGAGGACUCAUCCACCUAAUGGCUCCAGGAAAUCUGGGUUCCAUGAGAAUUUGAAGUUCUGUUCUGCAUUUUCCCCCUUUGGAUCAAAGAUUCUAUGAAGAAUCUUUGAUCAAAAUGUUCAGUAAUGAUAGCCAGGCACCAUCCAGUUUUUCUGGUCUCAUGGCAAACAAGGCAGUUGUUCACAGAGACAAUUAGCCACACAUUUCAUUUCCUCCUUCUGUUCCUGACUCCCCUUCUUCCUCCAUUGCUCCAGGCACAUAGAUACCAAUUAUUGUGCCUUGGAUGGUGAUAUUACAAAUGAAAAAAAAAAUUUAUCAUAAAAGUGGAGCCCUGGUGGCAAAACGGUUAAACACUGGGCUGCUAUUCAAAAGGUCAGCAGUUUGAACCCACCAACGGCUGUCUGCAGGAGAAAAGACCUGGUGAUCUAUUCCCAUAAAGAUUAUAGCCUAGGAAACCCUAUGAGGCAGGUCUACUCUGUCAUAUAGGGUCACUGUGAGUUGGAAUCGACUUCACAGCACCUAAAAACAACAUAACAAAAAAGGUAUAGCACCAAAAAAAGUUUUUGGAAAAUCUGUGAAAGGGCAAGAAUCAGGUGGUAAAAUUCCUAGAGGAUGACUGAGUGAUGUAUUAGAUAGGCCGUCUGAGUUGUACUGCAUUAACAAACAGUCCUGAUUUAUUUCUCAGUCACCCAUGCUACAUGUUCAUGGUGAGUUGGCUAUGAGAUCUGCGUCAAGCUACUCUCACUUGACCCAGACUGAAAAACUGGCCAUUCUCUGGAACGUUGUAGGCCCUGGUGGCAGAAGAAAAAAUAAUAGACAUUAUUGGCUAUUAAAGCUUCUGCCAGGAAGUGACAUGUUUCACUUCCCUUCACAUUUCAUUGGCCAAAGCAAGUCACAUGGCCAUAUCUGAGUUCCAAAGGACAGAGAAAGGAAGAAAAUUGGAAUCUUUGUGAACAACCCUAAUGACCACUACAGGUGGACUUUCAGCUUUUAAUCAGAUAUCCCCAUCUGUAGAGCUCCUUCCAUAAACGGGGAUCCCUAUAUGUAGAUCUCUUCUUUGCCUGAUAGUUUUAAACCUGGCUGUGGAAAUUCUGGAGUUAGACUGGGAGUGGAGGUGCCUGAGGACUUCACCAUUCAUAAGCACUUUUUCACUUAUUUCACAUUUUUAGUACCAUCACUUACCCUUGCCCUUCUCUGUGUUGGGUGUGGCUGAUUCCAGGGUGGUUGAUUCCAGGGGUAGCUGAGUCCAGAGGUGGCUGGGUUCAGGCAUGGCUUAGUCCAAGAUUCAUCUGCUUCAAUCUCUACAGAAACUAAAGCUUCUGAUCUCUUUAGGAGAUGCCUGAGAUAAGGGUGCAGACCUGGGAGGCUAGCGGCUCUUUAUACGGAUAUUAAAAAGUCUUUGUUCUAGUUCCACCCUUGAAACAACACCCUCUGCCUCCCAGUCUCUCAAUUCCUGAGACUUUCCCAAAUUCUAGAGAGCUUCUCAUAAGUGUCCCCUUCUGCAAACCAUUAGCUUUAUCCUUUCUCUACUUUGAAAAUUUGCUUUCCAGUUCUAUACUGUAAUCAUAUGGAUUUUGAGUUUCUGUUUCUUGCUCUCCAUGUUGUUGGGUGUAGCUUUUGGAAGAAGAAUGGAGCAGAAAGAUUUGUUUUACCCUGAUAAUUGGAAAGGGGUAUUACAUGUUUGUUUGUUUUGUUUGCAAGUAGUAAACCUUGGAGAAAAGCCUCCAGUCUCCUUAGCCAGUGCUACCAAUCCCAUUUUCAGUUCCGCUUCCCCAGAGGAAGCCAUGAUCCUACAUUCGGUGUGUACCCUUUGGUAUAAACAGCUUGCUAUUUUCUGUGUAGGGUCCCUGAGUGGCCAAGCAGUUUACAAUCGACUGCUAACCUAAAGGCUGGUGUUUCAAACCCACCCAGUGGUGCUGCAGGAGAAAGCCUUGGCAAUCUGCUUCAGUAAAAAUUACAGUCAAGAAGACCCAAGGGAUGGACCACGAUAGAGGGUCCUGGACAGAGCUGGAGAAAAUGUAGAACAAAAUUCUAACUCACAGAAAAAGACCAGACUUUCUGGCCUGACAGAGACUGGAGAAACCCCAAAAGUAUGGCCCACGAACACAUUUUUAGUUCAGUAAUGAAGGCAUUCCUGAGGUUCACCGUUCAGCCAAAGAUUAGACAGGCCCAUAAAACAAAAUGGAACUGAAGGUGCACAUGAGCCCAGGGGCAAGGACGAGAAGGCAGGAAGGGACAGGAAAGCUGGUAAACGGGAACCCAAGGUCAAGAAGGGAGAGUGUUGACAUGUCACCUAGGGUUGUUAACCAAUGUCAUAAAACAACAUGUGUAUGGUUUAAUGAGAAACUAGUUUGUUCUGUAAACCUUCAUCUAAAGUACAAUUAAAAAAAGAAAACCCAGUGGAGCAGUUCUACUCUGACACACAUGGGGUCUCCAUGAGUCAGAAUCUUGUGUUUUGGGUUCGGUUUUUGGUUGUGUUUUGUAUGUGCUUUUCAAAUGUAUGUGGAUACCUCAUACUACAUAUUUAUAUUAGCAAGAUUUCCCCGAUAAGCUCUUUGUGAUGUUUCCUCCUCUUGGUGUGUAUAAAUUUAACAUUAUUCUUCUCUAACCCAUCAAGGAUGAAAAUUUAACCGUUUCAAUCAUGAAGCUCAUUGAAGUUGGUUUCAACUUCUGACUCUUUGGAGCAAUCACGUAGUGUGUGUGUUCUUGAUUCGCCUGGCAAACGUUGUGACUUGCCUGUGUACAGGGAAGCCUGUGAGAGCCAGAACUCAGCAGGGCUGCCUUGUUUCUCCUGGUCACGCAAGUUUUCCACCUUUGACACGGUGCAGUCUUACCACUUUUCUAUUGCUCUCUAUUAAGACUCUUACCUCGAUCCAGGAAACGUAACAGACCCUUUGGGGUAGAAAACGAGGGCAAAGGUAACUCCUAGGGCUUAGGGGAAAAAUCUCUCAAGCUGUUUUUCCAAAGAACCAAGGCAAAAGGCCACAUAAAGUAACUCAUUUCACCACAGAAAUGUGCUUCCAUCCAUGAAUCUUUUUGAAACCAAAUAAACUCUAUAAAAUUUAAAAGAAGAAGAAGCCUACCUCAUAAACACCCAGCGAGUUUUCCUUCUCUGACAGGUUUUUUCAGCCUUUCCCAGGUUCCAGCUUUGGCAGGUUUUACUCUAUCUGGAACAGAAAUUGCUAGAUUACAGUCUAUGUGCAUUUUUACAGAGCAGAACUGUUCCAUAGGGUUUUCUUGGUAGUAAUCUUUACGGGAGCAGAUCACCAGGCCUUUGUUCCAUGGCACCACUGUGUGGCUUUGAAUGUUAACCUUUAGGUUAGCAGCCGAGUGCAAACUGUUUGCACAACCCAAAGACUUGAGUUUUAUUAGGCGUACCCAAAUUGCUCUUCUAAGUAGCUGUACCAACUUAUACCCCAUCCUAGACUUUUAGCUCUUGCCAUUUUGGUGAAUGAAAAAUGGUGUUUCUGGUUGCUUUAAAUUGCUUUUUCCUGAUAACUAGUGAACUUGAAGCUCUUUCUAUGUCUAUAUUGGCAGUCUCUCUUAAUAAUCCCUCUUUUUUCAUUGCCUAUCCUAUCAUAGUCUAUUUUUCUAAGAGGUUAGUUGUUUUUCCUAAUGAUUUGUAGAAAUUCUUUAACAUGUUUUACAUUCUACUUUUUUGUGUUGGUUGUAAUCAUUUCAAAUAUUCAAAGCUGUCGUCUUUCAACUCUUUUGUGCCUGUCAUUUUUUGAUGUUGUUGGAGUCAAAUUUAUCAGUCAUUUUCUUAACUCUUUGUGCCUUGCUUGAGAAAGCCUUUCCUAUCCUGAGAUGAAUCUAGGAUUUAUUGAGCACCUACUAUGAGAUAAUCAUUCUACAUGUUAUCACCUCUAAUCCUCAUAACUUUAUAGAACUGGCAAUACUAUUAUCAUCCCCAUGUCACAGAUGAGAAAACUGAGGCCCAGGGAGGCCAUGUUAUUUUCCCAAAAUCAUAGAGCCAAUAAUCUACAGAUCCAGAAUUUAAACCCAUUUCUGUUUUACUCCCAAACUCCCUAUUCUUUUCACUUCAGAGGUUGUAGGAGAAAGCUCACACAUGCAUACAUUUCAUCCCUCCUCUCACUCCUCGUAUCCUGGUCCAGACUCAGUAAAUCACAGAAGAUGGAAAUGCAGAGGAAUCAUGGCACAUUUGUCCUUUCACUAAUCAAUAGGCAUUCUCUAUUGUGUUCCAAGCCUCAUGUUGGAUGCUGGGGACACAUAGAUACAUCAGGCCUAAACUUGGCCCCCAAGGUGGUAUUCAUCAUGAAGCCACAUCACCAUGGUCCUGUCAUUUUUUUGACUCAGGGAGGAAAGGAAUCCCCAGGCCACGUACACCAGAAAGUCCUAACCUUAUCACACUGGCAGAAAUCACCCUGCGGAAAGAAAAUCAACCAGAGCCUCAGCACAGGAACAAUCCAGGUGACCCUUAUAUCCUCCUCACCAAGGAGACUCUCCUGCCACCAAACCCCAAGUCCCUUGGGAUAAGUAGAGAGACAGCAUGAUAUUGGAAUAGUUGAAAACAGCACUGGCCUUCGGUCUAGAAAUCGAGAACAAACCCAGGCUUUUCACAGACUUUCUACUUCAGCCUUCCCACUGACAAAAUCAGGGAAUUGAGCUAGAUGCCAUGAAAGGCUACAAAUCUGUGCUACUAGGUUUUUUGUGGUCCCAGAUAACCCUGCCACUGAGAAGUCUAUGGAGCACAGUUCUACUCUGACACAUAUGGGGUCAAACUUCCGCAUUCAUCUGUUGUGUUAGUUCCCAAUUGCUGCUGUAACAAAUUUCCACAAAUUUAGUGGCUUCAAGCAACACAAUUUUGUUUUGUUUUCCUCUUACAGGUAUGGAGGCCAAAAGUCCUAAAUGGGCUUCGAUGGAUGGAAAACAAAUAUAGCCGUAGUUCAUUCAUUUUCUUUGCUGCAUUCCAUUGUGGGAAUAUUUGUUGUUGAUAUUAGGUGCCAAUAAGUCACUUCCAACUCAUAGCAAUUCUGUGAACAAAUGAACAAAACACUGGCCGGUACUAUGUCAUCCUCACAAUUGUUGCUACGUUUGAGCCCACUGUUGCAGUGACUAUGUCAAUCCAUCUUGUUGAGGGUCUUCUUCUCUUUCACUGACUCUGCCAAGUAUGAUGUCCUUCUCCAAGGACUGACCGCUCCUGAUAUCAUCUCCAAAGUACAUGAGACGAAGUCUAUCCAUCUCACACAAUUUAUUGUUCUACUCACCUAUCUGACCAUUCAGUUUGUUUCCAGCUUUUUGCUGUUAUAUAUAUCAUGUUUCCAAGAACAUUCAUACAUGCAUACAUAUGUAAAAUUGUUUUCUCAAAAUGGUUGUA